AUGUUCCGCUGCAUUCCGAUUUUUAAAGGGUGUAACAGGCAGGUGGAAUACGUUGACAAGCGUCACUGCUCACUGCCGUGCGUCCCCGACGAUGUCCUGCGAUACUCGCGGAGUCUGGAGGAGCUCCUGCUCGACGCGAAUCACAUUCGCGAUUUGCCGAAAAAUUUCUUUCGACUUCAGAGGCUACGGAAACUCGGCUUGAGUGACAAUGAGAUACAUCAUUUGCCGCCGGACAUCCAGAAUUUCGAGAAUCUCGUGGAGCUGGACGUGUCCAGAAACGAUAUAGAACACAUUCCUGAUGACAUCAAGAAUUUACGGGCGCUACAGGUGGCGGAUUUCAGCAGCAAUCCUAUUCCAAGCCUUCCAGCAGGAUUUGUACAACUGAGAAAUCUAACUGUACUUGGGCUUAAUGAUAUGUCCCUUACGAACUUGCCACCUGAUUUUGGAAGUUUGGAGGCGUUACAGUCACUGGAAUUAAGAGAAAAUUUGCUCAAAUCUUUGCCUGAAUCGCUCUCCCAGCUUUCCAAACUUGAACGACUGGAUCUCGGUGAUAAUGAGAUCGAGGAAUUACCUGCACAUAUCGGAAGAUUACCAGCGCUACAGGAAUUGUGGCUUGAUCAUAAUCAGCUGCAACACUUGCCACGUCAAAUAGGCGAUCUCAAAACACUAGCGUGCUUAGAUGUUUCGGAAAAUCGUUUAGAAGAUCUUCCUAACGAGAUUGGUGGUCUCGAAUCAUUGACAGACUUACAUUUAUCACAGAACGUUAUCGAAAACUUACCCGACGGACUUGGUGAACUGAGGAAGCUAACUAUACUCAAAGUAGAUCAAAAUAGACUUUCUACUUUAAAUCCAGCUAUAGGAAAGUGCGAGAAUUUGCAAGAGUUAAUUCUUACGGAGAAUUUUCUUUUAGAGCUGCCAAUAUCUCUAGGCAAUCUUCACAAUUUAAAUAAUUUAAAUGUUGAUAGGAAUAGCCUGCAAUCUUUACCGUUAGAAAUUGGAAACCUGAAAAAGUUGGGUGUACUGUCCUUAAGAGACAAUAAAUUACAAUAUCUUCCAGCUGAAGUAGGGCAAUGUAAUGCCCUGCAUGUCCUGGAUGUAUCUGGCAAUAGGUUACAUUAUUUACCAUACUCUUUAAUUAAUCUGAAUCUAAAGGCGGUAUGGUUGAGCGAAAAUCAGGCGCAACCAAUGCUGACGUUUCAAACGGACGUCGACGAGGAAACUGGACAGGAAGUAUUGACGUGUUUCCUUCUGCCACAAUUGGAAUUCCAUCCUGAUGAUUCAAGUAGAUUGGGAAUGCUGGUCGGUAUGAGAAAUAUUCCAGGGUGCGAAAUGCGUGAGUUGGCAAGUAGCGAUGACGAAGGCUGGCAGGAGAGAGAAGCAUCGCGUACGCACUCGGUGAAAUUCACGGAUGAGCCGCCGGAGAUCGACAAGGAGACUCUUUUCGUACGUCAAAACACGCCGCAUCCAAAGGAAUUGAAAGCUAAGGCACACAAGUUAUUUAGUAAGGGGAAAAGCGAUAGUCGGUCGGGCUCUACGGAUGAGCAGGAUGUUUCUCAAACAUUUGGAUUAGAUAAAGCCGAAUCAGAAAUGCCGGUAAAUUCUAUAGACAUGCCGCAAUCUGUCUCUGAGCAAGAGGGACAUGUGGAAUAUACUGUACAAGAUGAUCGUAAGCUAUCAACGUCUGCCGUCGAACCAGACAGCACGGAUGUUCAAUCUAAAGAGGCAGACAAUAUUCCUGCUGUUCAGUAUGCCGCAGAGCAUCACGCAAACGCGAGAGCUGAAAAUUCUGUUUCGGAAUUGAAAGAGAAAGAAGAGGAAGAGGUGUUCGAAACUGAAGAGAAGCACGUUGAAUUCGACAUCGCAGAGGACGGAAGUAAGGAAGACGCUUCCGAUCCCGAUAAGCCCAAUAAACUUCAGCGUAGAGACACUCCGCAUCAUCUGAAAAAUAAACGCAUCAAUACGGCGGUUGAUAAAGAGAAAGUUGCCUCCAUUAUUGCACAGGUGCUUAUGAAGAAAGCUGAUGAGCCUCCUGCACCUGUUCCACCGCAAGUAGAACCUACGGAAACAUACGACACACACAAUCAAGAUGCAACGUCCGACAUUGAACCAGCAGUGGAAAUACGAGAGGAGCAAUAUGAAAUUCACAUAGAGAGGACGGCAGGUAGCGGACUAGGGCUGUCGAUAGCUGGCGGUUUCGGAUCGACGCCUUUCAAAGGCGAUGACGAAGGCAUUUUUAUUUCAAAAGUUACCGAAGGUGGACCUGCAGACUUGGCUGGUCUGAGGGUAGGAGAUAAAGUAAUAUCUGUGAAUGGAAUAUCAGUUGUGAAUGUAGAACAUUACGCUGCCGUGGAAGUAUUGAAAGCAUGCGGACGUGUCCUCGUGUUGGUUGUCAUAAGAGAAGUCACAAGGAUAAUCCCACCGUACGAGACGUCGACGAGAAAAGAUUCCGUGUGCUCCAGCUUGAGCACAAGUAGAGCACCAAGUGCAACGUCCUACGUCUCAUCUACAGCGUUGUCACACACUUUAGAAAAUGGCGACACAUCUUUGCCUCAUGAAAGUGUGAAGACGAAAAAGAUUCCCGAGCCUAUAACCGCUAUAAAAGCGAACAGUGAGCCCAUAGUGUCCGUACUUUUUCAUACGACGUUGAUUCGAGAUCAGAAUGGAUUGGGAUUCAGCAUCGCCGGUGGAGAAGGUUCACCGCCAUUUAAGGAUAACAACGACGCGAUAUUUAUUUCGAGAAUUACGGACGGUGGAGUUGCCCAGAAAGACGGGAAAUUGUUAGUUGGUGACAAAGUAAUAUCCAUUAAUGGAGCAGAUAUGAGAGGAGCGAAGCACGAACAAGCGGUAGCUUUACUCACUGGCUUGGAAAGAUUCGUUCGAUUAGUAGUCGAGCGGGAAAUACCAUUUUCUCAAGCAAAUCCUGCCACCGUCGUGACUCCUUCCGAGAAAUCGCCACGCGUCAUAGGGACACCGAAACCUUACACGGGUCUGUACAGUGCUAACAGUUACAUGGCGAACAGACCUGGAUAUGGUGGAUACCGUCGGUCUAUGGAUGCCGAUAAAGCUUUGUCACCAAGUCCUACCUCGAAAACGCCACCAUCUCCUUCGUCGUUACCCGCAGAUUCCGAUAUCGCUAACGACACGCCGAAAAUGAACGGCGUAACCGAAACGGGAAACAUGCAGAAGACCGUUCCGUCGACAAGUCCCGGUCCGGUAAUUAAUCAGGCGCAUCCGCAGCCAGCACCAAGGCACAGCGUCUCGCAGACGAGUACCACGCCCACGAGUAACGCUGGUUCCGCAACUGCGACUUCCGAGCCUAGACCGGCGUCCCCGCAGGAGGACAUACAGGUACCGAAGCCAAUCACCAACGAGGAAUUUCAAGCUAUGAUCCCCGCUCAUUUCCUUCGACCUCCAAAAUCCUCGCCUUCGCCAGACUCCAAUCAGGGCCCCAUUGUGACAGUCACGAUAAAGCAGCCAGAGACUUUGCCUGGAGAUGUUAGUUUUCCUCCGGCCCCCACCACACUCGGCAAAGUUACCGAGAGCAUCACAAAGAGCACCCUCACCGAGACCGUCGUAACUAGAGUGACCGACAACCAGUUGGUGCAACCACUUAUUAUCGAGGAUGUUGUUCUCGUGAAAGAAGGUUCUUUGGGAUUCAGUAUCAUAGGUGGUACCGAUCACUCGUGUACACCGUUUGGUGCGAAAGAACCAGGAAUUUUUAUAUCACACGUUGUUCCUGGUGGCAUAGCAGCCAAGUCUGGAAAAUUGAGAAUGGGUGAUAGGAUAUUAAAGGUAAACGGUACGGACGUGACGAAGGCUACUCAUCAGGAAGCAGUAAUGGAGCUUUUAAGACCAGGAGAUCAGAUCGUGCUUACCAUUCAACAUGACCCGCUUCCAGAAAAUUAUCAGCUGGUCGAAAUAGAGUACAUCCCUGUGACAGAAUUAGUGAUAACGAAAGAAGCUGGUGAGAAGCUUGGUAUGCAUAUUAAGGGCGGACGAAGAGGGCAGAAGGGCAAUCCGCUUGAUCAUUCUGAUGAGGGCGUUUUUAUAUCAAAAAUUAAUUCGGGUGGUGCAGCGAAAAGAGAUGGACGACUCAAGGUUGGUAUGAGGCUACUGGAAGUCAAUGGUACAUCGUUAUUAGGUGCGACGCAUCAAGAAGCUGUCAAUAUACUUCGGUGCUCAGGGAAUACGAUUACCUUAGUUGUGUGUAAGGGUUAUGAUAAAAGUGAAAUGGAACCAAUAUUGCCGAUGUCUGACGGAGAUCCCAAGGAAGCGGAAGAGUCUCACGAGUCUAGGGAUCCGGCCGCAGACGGUACCAAGUCCUCGUCGCAAAGCGUGUCUAGCUUAGAUCGAGACGACGAGGAAGCUGCGAUCCUCAGGCAAGAGCAAGAGAUGAAGGCUGAGCUCGUUGCUUGGGAACAGGAGGAACGAGAACGAGCGCUCGUAGAGCAAAGGGAGAAAUCUACACCCGAAAAAGUAUUGGACGUUGUACGAGCAGCAGAAUCACUAGUGAGCAAAUCGAAUAGUCCUGUCGACAUGGUUGUACCACCAAAGUCACCCGGGGGUACCAAGGAUCUCAAAACUACCACCAUUGUCAUGAGUAAACAUACGUUAGCAACACAAAAUCCCAAUUCGAGGACGAAUGAGACAUCUGGAACGUCGAAGGAUUUUUCCUUGUCAAAAUCGUCCACAAUCCCUACUCCCGCUAGAGCAGCGCAUAUUGAACGUUGCAGUACUUCCAUGCAUACCUUGCCCUCUCCGAAAAAGAAAUCUUUGCCAAAGCGCAGUAUCACAUUUGCUGAUUUGCCAACGAAUUUAAAAAAACGUUCAGAUUAUCCGUACCGUGACGAGCCCACGGUGACCGAAGAACAACCGAUUCAGCCGUUGCAGGAAACAUUUACUUACCCUUCGCGAGUCACGUCCUAUGAAACACCUGUACCUGCACGUUUCCCACUUCCCCCGACGCCUCUAACUGCUCCCGAAUGCUGGGGAGACACUUCGGCUUCCUUUAACAAGCGACAGAUAGCACGCUCUGUUGAUGGGAAUCGGGUUGAGCAAUCUCCAACUUCAUCUCCGACGCCACCGUUGACAAAAAUGUCAGUCAGCGAUAAAAAGAAGUUAUUUGAGAGUGCCAUGGAAGAACAUAUGAAACCAUCGCCUAAAUCAGAUAAAAUAUUUAGUUUUCUAAGUCAGGAUGAGGUAGAAAAAAUGAGACAAGAGGAAGAAAAAAAGAUAGCAACAUUGACGCGAGACGAGCUCAAGUCAUGGGCGCAACUUGACGAAAACGAAGGUCUCGAAGAUUUGGACACGAUGAUAGAUGAUCAGGAUAAUGGACGACCUAAGGCCUUAUAUCGGAUGAAGAUGAAGAACAUCUUUUAAGUCCGGCCGAACAGCGAGCGCUUAGAGCAGAAAAGCGUGCAGCUUGGCGACAAGCGCGUCUUAAAUCUCUUGAGCAGGAUGCACUUCAGGCACAAAUGGUGAUUAAAAAGAUGAGCGAAAUAAUGGAUACUAACAAAGCUGAAGAUACACGCGGUACCGCGGAACUUGCUGAAUCCACCGAUCCCACUUCCGAUCAAGAGAAGGCGGUCGAA
rnacentral:misc_RNA from 1 species